rnacentral:rRNA from 1 species
GAUGAACGCUAGCGGCAGGCUUAACACAUGCAAGUCGAGGGGUAUAGUUCUUCGGAGCUAGAGACCGGCGCACGGGUGCGUAACGCGUAUGCAAUCUGCCUUCCACAGAGGGAUAGCCCAGAGAAAUUUGGAUUAAUACCUCAUAGCAUCAUGUUCCGGCAUCGGAAUAUGAUUAAAGUCACAACGGUGGAAGAUGAGCAUGCGUCCCAUUAGCUAGUUGGUAAGGUAACGGCUUACCAAGGCGACGAUGGGUAGGGGUCCUGAGAGGGAGAUCCCCCACACUGGUACUGAGACACGGACCAGACUCCUACGGGAGGCAGCAGUGAGGAAUAUUGGUCAAUGGGCGCAAGCCUGAACCAGCCAUGCCGCGUGCAGGAUGACGGUCCUAUGGAUUGUAAACUGCUUUUGUACGGGAGGAAACACUCCCUCGUGAGGGAGCUUGACGGUACCGUAAGAAUAAGGAUCGGCUAACUCCGUGCCAGCAGCCGCGGUAA